rnacentral:rRNA from 1 species
CGUAUCACCCAAGACAACUUUACGGAGUUGACGAUUGACGGAGCGAAGCGACGUCAAAGCGUUCAUUAAAGUCGAGUUGGCUUAGGGAUACGUUCGUUGGGUAGGGGAGCGUUCUGUAAGCCUGUGAAGGUGUGUCGUGAGGCAUGCUGGAGGUAUCAGAAGUGCGAAUGCUGACAUAAGUAACGAUAAAGCGGGUGAAAAGCCCGCUCGCCGGAAGACCAAGGGUUCCUGUCCAACGUUAAUCGGGGCAGGGUGAGUCGACCCCUAAGGCGAGGCCGAAAGGCGUAGUCGAUGGGAAACGGGUUAAUAUUCCCGUACUUGGUGUUACUGCGAAGGGGGGACGGAGAAGGCUAUGUUGGCCGGGCGACGGUUGUCCCGGUUUAAGCGUGUAGGUGUGUGUUCCAGGUAAAUCCGGUUCACUUUAACACUGAGGCGUGACGACGAGGCACUACGGUGCUGAAGCAACAAAUGCCCUGCUUCCAGGAAAAGCCUCUAAGCAUCAGGUAACAUCAAAUCGUACCCCAAACCGACACAGGUGGUCAGGUAGAGAAUACCAAGGCGCUUGAGAGAACUCGGGUGAAGGAACUAGGCAAAAUGGUGCCGUAACUUCGGGAGAAGGCACGCUGACACGUAGGUGAAGUGAUUUACUCAUGGAGCUGAAGUCAGUCGAAGAUACCAGCUGGCUGCAACUGUUUAUUAAAAACACAGCACUGUGCAAACACGAAAGUGGACGUAUACGGUGUGACGCCUGCCCGGUGCCGGAAGGUUAAUUGAUGGGGUCAGCGCAAGCGAAGCUCCUGAUCGAAGCCCCGGUAAACGGCGGCCGUAACUAUAACGGUCCUAAGGUAGCGAAAUUCCUUGUCGGGUAAGUUCCGACCUGCACGAAUGGCGUAAUGAUGGCCAGGCUGUCUCCACCCGAGACUCAGUGAAAUUGAACUCGCUGUGAAGAUGCAGUGUACCCGCGGCAAGACGGAAAGACCCCGUGAACCUUUACUAUAGCUUGACACUGAACAUUGAGCCUUGAUGUGUAGGAUAGGUGGGAGGCUUUGAAGUGUGGACGCCAGUCUGCAUGGAGCCGACCUUGAAAUACCACCCUUUAAUGUUUGAUGUUCUAACGUGGACCCGUAAUCCGGGUUGCGGACAGUGUCUGGUGGGUAGUUUGACUGGGGCGGUCUCCUCCUAAAGAGUAACGGAGGAGCACGAAGGUUGGCUAAUCCUGGUCGGACAUCAGGAGGUUAGUGCAAUGGCAUAAGCCAGCUUGACUGCGAGCGUGACGGCGCGAGCAGGUGCGAAAGCAGGUCAUAGUGAUCCGGUGGUUCUGAAUGGAAGGGCCAUCGCUCAACGGAUAAAAGGUACUCCGGGGAUAACAGGCUGAUACCGCCCAAGAGUUCAUAUCGACGGCGGUGUUUGGCACCUCGAUGUCGGCUCAUCACAUCCUGGGGCUGAAGUAGGUCCCAAGGGUAUGGCUGUU